CCCAUCUUCAGUUAUAAGUGGGUUCCAAUGUUGACAUGGUAACCCAUAGUCAACAGAGCACCUUCUUACAUGUUCUCUUGGCCACAGAGACUCAAAACUGAAGCACUUCUCACAUUACCUGUUCGAGACCAAAGACUUUUAGAGCUUAUCUGUCAGCCUCAGGACUUGACAGAGACAGAAUACAACUAUAAUUUCAUGGCAACCCCAAACCCCAGCAGUGACUGCUCGGACUCAGAGCAGUCCCAUAUGAAAAUAAAUUCCCCGGAGAGCCUCGCAGGGGAUGAUCUCCCUGAUUCCCACACCUUCCACAAAGAGACCAAAACCACCCUCAAAGGUAACGUGUGUCACCAGGAGACAACAACCUUUCAUGAAGGAUAUGUUGUGGGUUCCUCAGUCAACGGCCACCCUACUGUGGAAGGACCAGAGGACACAGGGAGUCUAGGAAGAUGCAUGGACAAUAAUUCUGACACCACCAAGGACAACCCUAACCAGGCGCAUAUACAGAUGUAUCCUGAUGUGGAAGAGGAUGAGGAGACAGACUCAGAUAGCGAAGGCGAAGGAGCUGAUCAAAUUGUCACUAACAACAACAAGUGGAUAAAUAAGAAUUUAAGACUCAGAGGGCUAUACAUUGACCCUGUGGAUGGCUGGCCAGUAAUUCAGCUUGUCAGUCCCAAACUCACCAAGGAACAAGCACCAGAAGAUAGUCACAAUGAGGAGAGAAAGGAGGAAAGCGAAAGCAGCGAAGAUGAAUAUGGGGAUGCAGAUAAACUAAUUGAAAACUUCAAAGACCAAGAUGAAGGCAUGCUAAUGGGAUUAAUUGAAAAAGAAAAAGAGGACACGAAGAUCAAGAACAACGAAGACACCUGGAGUGAUGACGAAGAGUAUGUGGACCUUUAUGAACGAAUGCUGGUGUAUAAAAUAUCUGAUGACACCAGGCUUCCUGAUUCCAGUGAGGAUGAUGGAAGACAGCUCAAUGAGAGUUCCUUGGAGAAGGAAAACAUCCCAGACAAUGAAGACCCUCAGGACGCUGAUAAACAAACCUAUGACUCUGACAAAGAUGAUGCCCUCUGGCUCCGAGAACCACCUGAGGGAAACUUCCAGCUGGGCAGCAGCUCCCCUCCUCAUCCAGCUCAGGUCCCAUGUGAAGAACACCACACAUGUGAGGACCUGCCCACAUGCAAACCACCAGAAAAUACACAAGUCACCCAAGUCCCAGAGAUGCCGGCAAUGCUCCCGGAAGAUGAACCUGCUGAGCCUCAGGACUUGACAGAGACAGAAUACAACUAUAAUUUCAUGGCAACCCCAAACCCCAGCAGUGACUGCUCGGACUCAGAGCAGUCCCAUAUGAAAAUAAAUUUCCCGGAGAGCCUCGUAGGGGGUGAUCUCCCUGAUUCCCACACCUUCCACAAAGAGACCAAAACCACCCUCAAAGGUAACGUGUGUCACCAGGAGACAAC
rnacentral:lncRNA from 1 species